rnacentral:rRNA from 1 species
AACGAACGCUGGCGGCAGGCCUAACACAUGCAAGUCGAGCGCGUGCAGCAAUACACGAGCGGCGCACGGGUGAGUAACGCGUGGGAAUCUGCCCUAUGGUGGGGGACAACCUCGGGAAACUGAGGCUAAUACCGCAUACGUCCUUCGGGAGAAAGACUUCGGUCGCCAUAGGAGGAGCCCGCGUCCGAUUAGCUAGUUGGUGAGGUAACGGCUCACCAAGGCGACGAUCGGUAGCUGGUCUGAGAGGACGGCCAGCCACACUGGGACUGAGACACGGCCCAGACUCCUACGGGAGGCAGCAGUGGGGAAUAUUGGACAAUGGGGGCAACCCUGAUCCAGCCAUGCCGCGUGAGUGAUGAAGGCCUUCGGGUUGUAAAGCUCUUUUGGCGGGGACGAUGAUGACGGUACCCGCAGAAUAAGCCCCGGCUAACUUCGUGCCAGCAGCCGCGGUAA